rnacentral:misc_RNA from 1 species
CUGUUCAGAGAUGAAUCAGCCAGUUGAAGCUGGCUAUGGUUAGCUAGGGAGCGGUGCCCUCUACGGCAGACACCACGCGAGCGGAGGUAGAGCUGGCCGAGCAUAUCGAAGACCGCAAACUUCCUAUAUAAAUCUUGNNGACCGAGCAAACGCGGAGGGUUUUCUUCCUUGAUUUCGCCAUUAUGGGUGAAAGAAAAAAG